ACGAACGCUGGCGGCGUGCUUAACACAUGCAAGUCGAGCGGUAAGGCCCCUUCGGGGGUACACGAGCGGCGAACGGGUGAGUAACACGUGAGCAAUCUGCCCUUCACUUUGGGAUAACUCUGGGAAACGAGAGCUAAUACCGAAUACGACCACUUCAGGCAUCUGAUGGUGGUGGAAAGUUCCGGCGGUGAAGGAUGAGCUCGCGGCCUAUCAGCUAGUUGGUGGAGUAACGGCCCACCAAGGCUUCGACGGGUAGCCGGCCUGAGAGGGUGACCGGCCACACUGGGACUGAGACACGGCCCAGACUCCUACGGGAGGCAGCAGUGGGGAAUAUUGGACAAUGGGCGAAAGCCUGAUCCAGCAACGCCGCGUGAGGGAUGACGGCCUUCGGGUUGUAAACCUCUUUCAGUAGGGACGAAGCGCAAGUGACGGUACCUACAGAAGAAGCACCGGCCAACUACGUG
rnacentral:rRNA from 1 species